AUUGAACGCUGGCGGCAGGCCUAACACAUGCAAGUCGAGCGGAUGAAGGGAGCUUGCUCCUGGAUUCAGCGGCGGACGGGUGAGUAAUGCCUAGGAAUCUGCCUGGUAGUGGGGGAUAACGUCCGGAAACGGGCGCUAAUACCGCAUACGUCCUGAGGGAGAAAGUGGGGGAUCUUUGGACCUCACGCUAUCUGAUGAGCCUAGGUCGGAUUGGCUAGUUGGUGGGGUAAAGGCCUACCAAGGCGACGAUCCGUAACUGGUCUGAGAGGGUGAUCAGUCACACUGGAACUGAGACACGGUCCAGACUCCUACGGGAGGCAGCAGUGGGGAAUAUUGGACAAUGGGCGAAAGCCUGAUCCAGCCAUGCCGCGUGUGUGAAGAAGGUCUUCGGAUUGUAAAGCACUUUAAGUUGGGAGGAAGGGCAGUAAGUUAAUACCUUGCUGUUUUGACGUUACCAACAGAAUAAGCACCGGCUAACUUCGUG
rnacentral:rRNA from 1 species